CUCACCCUUUUGUGUACGAGUAUCAACAGCAAAGCCUCUGCUUUUUAAUGAAAACCAUUCAAGUCAAUCAAGUUUACCAGAGACCAAAGGCCAGUGUAAUUUGGGAAAAUUGCUGAAACUCCAAAGUAAUCUUCUGUAAUGUGAUCUUGCCUAUUGAACACUGGCUGUACUGUACGUGUCGGAUAAGAGCUCAGUCAUUUUCUUCAAAUGCAGUCUUGACAAGCAGCAUGGAUAUCCACCUGCAAGCUCCUGACGCCUCCCAGAGGAGCCGCGGAGGAGGAGAGGAAUUCCACUGGAUUCAAAGCCUUCUCUGGGUUUCUUUUUGACUCUUCUGCCUGCCUUGCCUUCCUCAGCUCCUCAUGUUGACCUGCUCCUCGUGAUCCCCUGCCAAACCAUCUUCCUGGCCCUGGGGGACUGUGGCUGUGUGUGCACAAGCAUACACAUUACAUGGGCGCAUGGAGGGUUUGGGGCUUUCAUUCUAAGUUCCAAUACGUUUGAAGAGCGGUGGUGGAGCCUGGGGAUGGUUGGGGGUGAGCUCAGCCUGGACGGCAGACAGCACCUGAGAGUGAACCUCAAACCUGGGGGUACGACCCACAACGUGACCUCUGCAGUUGGAGCAAAAACACAAAGAAACAAAGACUUUUGCUACAGCACAAUGCGGAACCUGCCUGGUCCUCUGUGCGCACUAUUGUUUAAAAUUUUGUUUCAUGCAGCCAAUGAUUA